AAAAAGAUAAAGAAAAAU
rnacentral:sRNA from 1 species